rnacentral:rRNA from 1 species
UAAUCUGGCACCUUCGGUGUCCGAGUUGUAAUCUCUAGAAAUGUUUUCCGCGUUGGACCGCACACAAGUCUGUUGGAAUACAGCGGCAUAGUGGUGAGACCCCCGUAUAUGGUGCGGACGCCCAGCGCUUUGUGAUACAUUUUCGAAGAGUCGAGUUGUUUGGGAAUGCAGCUCAAAUUGGGUGGUAAAUUCCAUCUAAAGCUAAAUAUUGGCGAGAGACCGAUAGCGAACAAGUACCGUGAGGGAAAGAUGAAAAGCACUUUGGAAAGAGAGUUAACAGUACGUGAAAUUGUUGGAAGGGAAACGCUUGAAGUCAGACUUGCUUGCCGAGCAAUCGGUUUGCAGGCCAGCAUCAGUUUUCCGGGAUGGAUAAUGGUAGAGAGAAGGUAGCAGUUUCGGCUGUGUUAUAGCUCUCUGCUGGAUACAUCUUGGGGGACUGAGGAACGCAGUGUGCCUUUGGCGGGGGUUUCGACCUCUUCACACUUAGGAUGCUGGUGGAAUGGCUUUAA